rnacentral:rRNA from 1 species
AGAGUUUGAUCCUGGCUCAGAUUGAACGCUAGCGGGAUGCUUAACACAUGCAAGUCGAACGGCCCCACGAGAGAGCUUGCUCUCUUGGUGGCGAGUGUGGGACCGUUGCAUUAUUAUAUCGAAACGUGCCCGGAAACUUGGGGAUAAUCUACUCUGAACACUGGCUGGUACCGCAUUAUAUCCCUACGGGAUAAAGGCGGGGAUCGACUAGACUCUCUCGCUGAUUGUAGCGGUCCGAUAUCGCAAUAACUCUUGGUGGGCUAAAGGCUCACCUCGGCCACGAUGCGAAUCUGGUUUGACACGACCACCAACCGCACUGGGACUGAGACACUGUUCAAACUCCUACGGGAGGCAGCACUGGGCAAUUUUGGAGAAUGGUGGAAGCCCUGAUCUCGCCAUCCUCUUUGUAUGAUGAAGAGUCUUCACGGUUGUACAGAACUUAUGCCCCAGAAAACUACGUGUCCCCUACUACGGGAUGCUAAUGACGGUAUCUGCAGAAUAAGCACCGGCUAACUUCGUGCCAGCAGCCGCGGUAAUACGUAGGGGGCAUAGCGUUAAUCGGAAUUACUGGGCGUAAAGCGCGUGUAGGCGGUUUAAUAAGAAAGAUGUGAAAUCCCAGGGCUCAACCCUGGAACUGCAUUUUUAUCUUCCGAGUUAGAGUAUGUCAGAGGGGAGUAGAAUUCCACGUGUAGCAGUGAAAUUCGUAGAUAUUUGGAGGAACACCGGUGGCGAAGGCAGCCCCCUGGGAUAAUACUGACGCUCAGACACGAAAGCGUGGGGAGCAAACAGGAUUAGAUACCCUGGUAGUCCACGC